GUUCCUGCAGGGUCAUUGGGCCUGAAAUGCCAUCCGCUGACCUACUUGCUGCAGCAGCCAAGCUAACAGAAGCUGAAGCAGAACUAAGAGAGGCUGAGUUGGAUGGAGACGACGAUCUAUUUAUAGGACCUCCACCUCCUGCUGUUGUUAAAGAAGCUGAGUCUACAAAUGAAGCUGAGCGUUUUGAGGAGAUUACAAGAAUAAUUGGUGCCGAGGCAGAUAGUCCAUAUGCUGGGUACUAAAGGUGGAACUGCAGUGCUUAGUAAUUGCUUUCUCUUCACUUGGCCAUUCUUGCAUCUUUUCCUGCUCUAUUGACUUGUAUACAUUAUUUUUUUCUGGAUGAAGUUGUUUGCUGAUAUUUUAUUGUUUAGGUAUUGGAAGUUGUCUCUAAUGGUUCAUCCUG